rnacentral:rRNA from 1 species
UUUCAGCAGUGAGGAAGGUGGGUAUGUUAAUAGCAUACUCAUUUGACGUUUAGCUGCAGAAGAAGCACCGGCUAACUCCGUGCCAGCAGCCGCGGUAAUACGGAGGGUGCGAGCGUUAAUCGGAAUUACUGGGCGUAAAGCGCAUGCAGGUGGUUUGUUAAGUCAGAUGUGAAAGCCCCGGGGCUCAACCUCGGAAUUGCAUUUGAAACUGGCAAACUAGAGUACUGUAGAGGGGGUAGAAUUUCAGGUGUAGCGGUGAAAUGCGUAGAGAUCUGAAGGAAUACCGGUGGCGAAGGCGGCCCCCUGGACAGAUACUGACACUCAGAUGCGAAAGCGUGGGGAGCAAACAGGAUUAGAUACCCUGGUAG